GACAUAGGUGGCAACCGUUAUCCGGAAUUAUUGGGCGUAAAGGGUGCGUAGGUGGUUCAAUAAGUUACUGGUGGCAAAUCGGGGCCCAACCCCGUGGAAGUCAGUAAUACUAUUAAACUAGAGGAUCGGAGAGGUUAAUGGAAUUCUAUGUGUAGCGGUAAAAUGCUCAAAUAUAUAGAGGAACACCAAACGGCGAAGGCAGUUAACUAUUCGGUUCCUGACAUUGAGGCACGAAAGCGUGGGGAGCAAGACGG
rnacentral:rRNA from 1 species